rnacentral:rRNA from 1 species
GACGAACGCUGGCGGCGUGCUUAACACAUGCAAGUCGAGCGGUAAGGCCCUUUCGGGGGUACGCGAGCGGCGAACGGGUGAGUAACACGUGGGUGACCUGCCCUCAGCUCUGGGAUAAGCCCGGGAAACUGGGUCUAAUACCGGAUAUGACUCCAUGACGCAUGUUGUGGGGUGGAAAGCCUUGUGCGGCUGAGGAUGGGCCCGCGGCCUAUCAGCUUGUUGGUGGGGUGAUGGCCUACCAAGGCGACGACGGGUAGCCGGCCUGAGAGGGCGACCGGCCACACUGGGACUGAGAUACGGCCCAGACUCCUACGGGAGGCAGCAGUGGGGAAUCUUGCGCAAUGGGCGAAAGCCUGACGCAGCGACGCCGCGUGAGGGAUGACGGCCUGG